GACGAACGCUGGCGGCGUGCUUAACACAUGCAAGUCGAACGGAAAGGCCCUGCUUUUGUGGGGUGCUCGAGUGGCGAACGGGUGAGUAACACGUGAGUAACCUGCCCUUGACUUUGGGAUAACUUCAGGAAACUGGGGCUAAUACCGGAUAGGAGCUCCUGCUGCAUGGUGGGGGUUGGAAAGUUUCGGCGGUUGGGGAUGGACUCGCGGCUUAUCAGCUUGUUGGUGGGGUAGUGGCUUACCAAGGCUUUGACGGGUAGCCGGCCUGAGAGGGUGACCGGCCACAUUGGGACUGAGAUACGGCGCAGACUCGUACGGGAGGCAGCAGGCGGGAAUCUUGCCCUAUGGGCGGAAGCCUGAUGCAGCAACGCCGCGUGCGGGAUGCCGGCCUUCGGGUUGUAAACCGCUUUCGCCUGUGACGAAGCGUGAGUGACGGUACUGGGUAAAGAAGCACCGGCUAACUACGUG
rnacentral:rRNA from 1 species